rnacentral:lncRNA from 1 species
UAAUAUAUAUCAAAAUUAAAAUAAAUAAAUUUUCUUCUCAUGGGAGUAAAAUACUUGUUCAAUGGAAGUCAUUUUUACUCUUCAUUUUUAUGUAGGCUAUAGCAGUAAAAGUUUUUAUUUUUAUUUUUUAUAUUUUAUUUAAACUUUUGAACGUUGAAAGUAUAGCAGGUUUGACAAAGGAGACGUUAGCCGGUCAGUAAAACGGCUGUGUGC